ensembl:lncRNA
CUCUUUGCAGCUCCAUGGACUGCAGCAGGCAGGGCUUCCUUGUCCUUCACCAUCUCCCAGAGUUUGUUCAAACUCAUGUCUACUGAGUCGAUGAUGCCAUCCAACCAUCUCAUCCUCUGUCGUCUCCUUCUCCUCCCGCCUUCAGUCUUUUCCAGCAUCAGGGUCUUUUCCAAUGAGUGGGCUCUUUGCAUCAGGUGGCUUGAUGGUUGGUAUACAGAUCUUUUUUGCAUGCAAUCAGAAUGUGUCAGUUCCAUGCUGUCUCGGAGGUUAGGGCUGAGAAGGAGGAAACAGAAGGAAGCCAGGGCAGCGGGCAGCUAAUGGUCAUGCUGAAGAGGCAACGACCGAGGAUGAACUAGAACAGAAAACAGAACUGUGUACAAGACACGUAUCGCUGAGAGAGUAUUGUUCUGAGGGCCCCAACAGCAGCAGCUGUGUCUGAGCUAACUCUGCUUGGAACCAGCCUUGAUGGCUCCCAUUUCCCAAGCAAGCCUGGGGGAUGGAUGAUCUCAACCCUACUCAACUGCAGUGGCCACAGGACCCUGGUAUACUACCCUAUGCAGGAAGGAAGCUUUCUGUUGUUGUUCGCCAUGAGAGCCUGGUGGGACACCUGUGAAAAAGGCUCAAGUGGAAGGACUCCACUAAACCUGGGUCUCCAGGAUCUUCUGACUCUCAAGCUAUGGGUCAAGUAUGGUUUGCUUUCCUGUCCCCUGAGGCUUCUGUUCCUUGUCCACUGAUUCUCUGAGUCAGACUCUGACAACCUCUUAUGAUCAUCUCUGUGCAUUUCAUAUGGAGAGGCAUUAGCAAAUGUUACUUAAUUUGAUGGAUGAAAAUUUUCCUUUUUAUUAUCUAUAAAAAGUAUGAAACACCCUUGUUAGAAAGCGGAAAGUGAAAGUGAAUGCUCAAUUAGAAUAACCAAUAUAGUAAGCAUAUUUUUUCCUUCUCUUUCAAAAGGAUUUUAACAUUUACAUUUCAGACAGGAUAUAAAUAAUAGGUAAACAAAAUAAUGAGGGACUGCCUUGCC